GUAGCUGGCUAGGCUAGUCCCCUGUUAAAUCCACCGAAUUAAUCGUUGGAUUGCGGGGGAUACUGCUUGGCUAGGGGACGAGAGAGGCAGACGGUAUUUCCGGGGUAGGGGUGAAAUCCUAUAAUCCCGGGAGGACCACCAGUGGCGAAGGCUGUCUGCUAGAACGCGCCCGACGGUGAGGGAUGAAAGCUGGGGGAGCGAACCGGAUUAGAUACCCGGGUAGUCCCAGCUGUAAACGAUGCAGACUAGGUGUUUGGACGGCCACGUGCCGUUCUAGUGCCGCA
rnacentral:rRNA from 1 species